GGCAGAAGUGUUUCAUGGCAUGGAAGAGUGCAAAGCGGGGGAAGCAACCAGCAGUAGAUUUUGGAAACCAUAUCUAGAGUACAAGUCUGACUUAUUUCCAACCCUUAAGGGUAGAGUAAUGUUUUGGUCUCUUUCAAUCAAAACAUCAUGCAAAAUGUUCUUUCCUCAUAAGUGUGCAAAGUGGGGGAAGCAACCAGCAGUAGAUAUGAAGAUAUUACAAAUACUUUGGAUCAAGUAACAAUCACAGAACAACAUUCUUGUUUGAUUUGUUUCCUUCAAGACGUAGGAAACCGUAUCAAGAGUACAAGUCUGCUUUAUUUGGGCCUAUGGCUAAAAACUAAAAUGAAGAUAUUGCAUAAACAGAAAUUUUUCUUACGUACAUUAAUGCAAGUUUUACUUAAUGGGAGUAGACAUAGCUCAAGAGCAGCUUUUGUGGUUUAUGAGAGAGAUUUGAGGAAUGAGAACCAGAUUGGUGUUGCCGCAUUCCCUAGAGAUGGUGCCUGUUAAGAAGAUGAUAUUGAUUUCAUAAGGUUUCUAGAUUAUUUGUAAAAGAAGAGGAAGAUCAAUCUCCAAAAAAAAAAAGAAAAACCAUCUGGGAGGUCAAGGAUUUAGUUGAGGAACAAAAUGAGCACGAGCUCUAUACAACCAAUCACAAAGAAAAGUAAGGAAGUCUUAGUCUAUACUUAUUGGAGAAGCAAAGUUGAUGCUGGUGAAAAUCAUUAAGCAAUGAUGCCCCUCAGAUGGUUGUGUCUUACAUUCUGGUGCAAGAUAGCUAAUUGAGAAAGCUCCAUAUGCAGAAUGGCAACAAAGCUUCCUUUCUCUGCUCCCUGAAGCUUUGUCCUUGUUUACAGAGCUCUAUACUCAAUUCAUAGACACAAAAAUGCUUACAGAUGAAGCUUCAAUCAACAUCCUGAAUGUGACUUCCCAUUUCUUUUAGUUGUUUGAAUGUGAAUGACUAAUUAUCAAGUUUGUCAUAAUAAGGACAUGAUUUUUAAAGUACUAAAUUGCCUGUGCUAAGAGGAAAAUUUUAUUUGUAGAAGCAGAUAAUAAAUAUAUACUAAUCAUUUAAAUUGUUCA